rfam:Chitinophaga ginsengisegetis strain DSM 18108 genome assembly, contig: LX61DRAFT_scaffold00005.5
AAAGCAGUAGUUCAAUGGUUGAACACCGGAUCCUGUAGUUUUAAAAUUAUCUUCAGGGUCAAUUAAAACUUACUUCCUGAUUCCAAUCCGGAGUUGCUGGUUCGAAUCCAGCCUGCUUUA